rnacentral:rRNA from 1 species
AGUGAACGCUGGCGGUAGGCCUAACACAUGCAAGUCGAACGGCAGCACAGUAAAAGCUUGCUCUUACGGGUGGCGAGUGGCGGGCGGGUGAGGAAUACAUCGGAAUCUACUUUUUCGUGGGGGAUAACGUAGGGAAACUUACGCUAAUACCGCAUACGACCUACGGGUGAAAGCAGGGGAUCUUCGGACCUUGCGCGAUUGAAUGAGCCGAUGUCGGAUUAGCUAGUUGGCGGGGUAAAGGCCCACCAAGGCGACGAUCCGUAGCUGGUCUGAGAGGAUGAUCAGCCACACUGGAACUGAGACACGGUCCAGACUCCUACGGGAGGCAGCAGUGGGGAAUAUUGGACAAUGGGCGCAAGCCUGAUCCAGCCAUACCGCGUGGGUGAAGAAGGCCUUCGGGUUGUAAAGCCCUUUUGUUGGGAAAGAAAAGCAGCAGGUUAAUACCCCGCUGUUCUGACGGUACCCAAAGAAUAAGCACCGGCUAACUUCGUG